GAGUCGUCCACACGAGUCCACGAAUCACGAUCAGAAGUCUUAGUCUAGGAAAUCAGCACAGUAUGCUAGUACUGUACUGAUCCUUCUUCGAUGGUUGAUCAGAUGCCUCCUUCUUCUUGAUUUAGACUCUUCUAAAAAUGAAAAGUAGGAGAAGGAGUUUUAAAUGUGAGAUACUCUUAGAAAACUCACAGAUGGAGGAAGAAAAGAGAUGAACUCAGUAACCCUAGAAGAAGACCCUCUUCUUCUUCUCUUUGCUCUAACCCAG
rnacentral:lncRNA from 1 species